AUUGAACGCUGGCGGCAGGCCUAACACAUGCAAGUCGAGCGAGCGGCGGACGGGUGCGUAAUGUAGGGGGACUGUCCGAUAGAGGGGGAUAACUACAUGAAAAGGUAGGUAAUACCGCAUCCAAUCGGAUAACCCAUAUGGUAUGAGCUAGUAGGUGAGGUAAUGGCUCACCUAGGCGACGACCACUAGCUGGUCUGAUAGGAGGAUCAGCCACACUGUGACUGAGACACGGUCCAGACUCCUACGGCGGCAGAAGUGGGUAAUAUUGCACAAUGGUCGCAAGCCUGAUUCAGGCAUGCCGCGUGUAUGAAGAAGGCCCUAGGGUUGUAAAGUACUUUCAGUCGGGAGGCGUUACCGACAGAAUAAGCACCGGCUAACUCCGUGCCAGCAGCCGCGGUAAUAC
rnacentral:rRNA from 1 species